rnacentral:rRNA from 1 species
UGCCAGCCGCCGCGGUAAUACGGAGGGUGCAAGCGUUAAUCGGAAUUACUGGGCGUAAAGCGCGCGUAGGUGGCUAAGUCAGCCAGGUGUGAAAGCCCCGGGCUCAACCUGGGAACGGCAUCUGGAACUGCUUGGCUAGAGUGCAGGAGAGGAAGGUAGAAUUCCCGGUGUAGCGGUGAAAUGCGUAGAGAUCGGGAGGAAUACCAGUGGCGAAGGCGGCCUUCUGGACUGACACUGACACUGAGGUGCGAAAGCGUGGGUAGCAAACAGGAUUAGAUA